rnacentral:rRNA from 1 species
UGCGUAGGUGGCGAGCGUUGUCCGGAUUUACUGGGCGUAAAGAGCGCGCAGGCGGUCGUGCCAGUCGCGUGUGAAAGCCCCCGGCUCAACUGGGGAGGGUCACGCGAUACUGCUCGACUCGAAGGCAGGAGAGGGAAGUGGAAUUCCCGGUGUAGUGGUGAAAUGCGUAGAUAUCGGGAGGAACACCAGUGGCGAAGGCGACUUCCUGGCCUGUUCUUGACGCUGAGGCGCGAAAGCUAGGGUAGCAAACAGG